rnacentral:lncRNA from 1 species
GGAAUUUAACCUUAGCCAGAUAUGCACUGUGUUUAUUAGAUAUAUUCCUUUCUGAUAGUGUUAAAGUAAUACACCUGUCAAAGCUGUUUAGCAUAAAAUCUUGGUGUCCAAUUUACCGUAUGAACGGGACAUGGAAAGAUUUCCUUGAUUGGCCUUUAAAUGCGAAGAUUCAAGGGAGCUUGAAAAUGAUCCCAUUACAAAACUCAGUGGUUGUCAAUUAUAAAGAAUUCUGUUAGUUUGUUGCCAAGAAAGUUAUAAAGAUUGAUAUGUGAAUGUACAUACCUUGAUACUUUUUAACAUAUUUUUAAGAUUCCAAGGCGCCUUUUUCAGUCCAAACAACUUUGGUAUGUCAGGCGCAUGGAUACGACGAUAAAGAUUGAAGUUUGACCAUAUGAAUUUCUUUUGUUACUUCGUUUGGUUCAUUAUUACAUUUUUGAAAAAAUUUAUUUGCAAUCAUAAUAUGUUACAAUAGUUUUGCCCAUCUUUUCUAACUUUUUGUGCUAAGGUUAAUGUUAUUUUGAAAUCUGUGCAAGACAUGUUUCAUCUAUUAAGUCGUCUAUCAAGGCACAAUUUAUCUUUGAUGUGUCUUAUUUUGUUCAGCCCCUAUUUGAUCUCAAUUUUUUAGAACUCAUUUUCUCCAAAUUCAUUUCAACCACACAAUUUUUAUUAACUUUUUAAGCGUCCAUUUCAUUGGUUUUUAUCAUAAUUUCCUGAAAAUCUGUUUAAACAAACCAAAAUGGGGUUCAUUCUGAUGUGAUCACAGAUACAUUUUAGCAUAUCACAGAUUAUUUAUCAUGAUGUUUACCUAGUACAGAAUUGGAACAAUACAGCGAAGAUUAACACCAUCCCUGCACAAAGUGGAAGUGGAAGUGGAAGUGGAAGUGAAGUGAAAGUGAAAGUCAGCACGCGCAAAUCAAAAAAUGGUCCAAACUUGAACCUGCAUCUAACAUGCAGAAUACAAGUGUGCGUUAGACCAACCUCAGAAGUCUGUUCAAAAGUUUCAAAAAUUCAGAAGGAAACAACAGUGGGGACUGUCUGUACUAUAAAACUUUGUGGAUCUUAAUGAAAGAAUUGUGACAUUUUCGGUUCACGCUAAGAUAUGGUUCUUAUCCUACG